AGAGCGAACGCUGGCGGCAGGCCUAACACAUGCAAGUCGAGCGCCCGUAGCAAUACGGGAGCGGCAGACGGGAUAGUAACACGUGGGAACGCGCCCUUCGGUUCGGAAUAACUCAGGGAAACUUGAGCUAAUACCGAAUACGCCCUUACGGGGAAAGAUUUAUUGCCGAAGGAACGGCCCGCGUCCGAUUAGCUAGUUGGUGAGGUAAUGGCUCACCAAGGCUACGAUCGGUAGCUGGUCUGAGAGGAUGACCAGCAUCACUGGGACUGAGACACGGCCCAGACUCCUACGGGAGGCAGCAGUGGGGAAUAUUGGACAAUGGGCGCAAGCCUGAUCCAGCCAUGCCGCGUGGAUGAUGAAGGCCUUAGGGUUGUAAAGUCCUUUUAACGGGGAAGAUAAUGACGGUACCGUAGAAUAAGCCCGGCUAACUUCGCGCCAGCAGCCGC
rnacentral:rRNA from 1 species